ensembl:miRNA mdo-mir-7354 mdo-mir-7354
GGAGGAAGUUUGCCUCCCCCCACCUUGCCAUGCCUUUUGGUGGAGAGGGGAAAACUCCUUAGC